rnacentral:lncRNA from 1 species
CUCAAACCCAUUAAAAUCCAUUUUUCUUGAAAAAAAAAACCCAGAAUCUCUAAUUUCUUCCAUUUAAUAGCCUAAAAGAAAAAAUAACCAUAGGGUUUUGGCACACUGAGCGUUAGGCCUCAAACACGUCCGAAAUCCUCCAAAUAGAAUGAGUGCCUUCAUUCUGUCAAGUUCUCAGCCUCCCUUCUCUGUCAAAUUUCGAGACAUCUCCAAGAACAAAGAAAGAGAGGCAGCAAGUUCCAUUCUCGAGACCCAAACACAGUAAAUAUGCUUUUUAGAGUUUAACAAAAAUUGCAUCAACAAAUCAAUUUAAUGUAAAGGAAAAAAGGGACUGAGGGGAUUGAUCUGAAAGCGAGAGAAGUGAAAAG